UUUCUUGUCCUCCCGCUCCUCCUCCCACAUCUACUUGCCCACGUCCGUUUUUGGGGCAGAAGGGACUUUAACUGUUUGCUUUUGCUUCCUAGAACUUCAAGGUGGGUUUUGUUUUCCAAGAAAGUCUGGGUCCACGUUUGUGACAGCCCCCAGGAGGGCAGGUGUUUUGAGAUUGCUCAUGGGGGUGAGGCCCGUGGUCCCCAGGGAGCUCACCUCCUGAGGGUCUCAGGGGAGCCUGGAGGAGCCUAGGAGAGACACCUGAUGGAGAGGAGCAGGGCUAGGCCCGCACUGCCCUUCACUCUGGCUCAAGUUCUCCUCCAUCCCCAUAGGCCUGGAGGGCAGACUCUGAUUACCAGGGGUAACCAGUGUGCAGAAUUAAAGAUCCUGACCUGACAGGAUCUCUUAUAUCCUCCACUCUAGAGGACUUCUGUAGGCCUAAGUGGUAGCAAGGAGGCUAGAGUGUCCCCUAACCAGUGGUGGAAAUUCAGAGCACUCAGGAGCACUCAAGUUCUCCAUAAUCACUGUGUCUCCAGGUCUUAGCCUCCAUCCUAGUUCAAUAAAUAUUUGUUGAAUGCAAAAGCAUUUUAUAAACUUUGAACUACUAAACACAUAGUAAUUAUUGCCACCAUAGAGUAAUUAUUAUUGCUGCCACAAGCCAGGCUCUCCAUCUGUAAGCUGAGGGUACUGGGGUAGAUAAUAGAUAAGGUCCUCUCCAGCUAUAAAUUCUGUAUCCGAGACUUCAGCCCCUACUUCUGCCAAGUGGGCUGAAAUGAUCUCCCUCCUGGGUUUCUGGGAGAAUUAAUAAAUCUGGAUGGCUUAUGAUACACUGAAGAAAGGCCCCGACAGACCCAGUGUCAGCAUCUGAAUUGGUUUAACCCUGUGGCCUCCAAAUGCCAGACUGAGAAUCUGUAUAGAUCCAAGGCAAAGUUUUCAUUAGUUCAAGGCAAAAAAUAAAAAGAAUAUACAGUGUUUCAUAAAGCUAAGCUUAUUUAACUUAACAGAUAGUCCUUUAUUCUGGGAUAUGCUUUUGCUCUUUUUUUUUUUUUUUUGGUGUUAGUCUUUCUGUUAAGAGAAGGUGAUGAAAGCAGAUGGGUAGGUUAAGAAAAGGGUUGUUAGUUGGUGAAAUCACCAGUCUGGCAACCUGAUGUCAAUCCCUACAAUUAGAGGAGAGAGAAUCCCGGUCUGUGAAAUUCAGUUCCGGGGAUUGCUAUUUAACAGAAUUCAUACUUGCUAAAGGUUCAGGUAGUAUAUGUGUAAGUCAGCUGAGCAGCCAAAAAGAUUUCAGCAUCUAAAAGUGUAUGAGUAGUGAAUGAUAUAACAAGCAUGCACUGGAUUUAUAGUUUAUUCCUCAAUCGAGAUGUUACACAGCUGUGAUAUUCAGCAUAUCCCGAUGAGAUAAGAGAGCUUGAGUCUAAUUUUCCCCAUGUGCGGGGAAAACUGACUCUGACUGGUGCCCCUCAGUCUGAACCUCAUGAAUUAUUGACAACAGAGGCUGGAUAGCAUGACACUCCUCUUCCUCCUGACCUGUUCAGAGCUAAUGCACUGUGGGAACCCUUCCCAGGGCUUGCCACCUGCCUGUGGGGCUGGGGGAGGGGAUUUAGGACUGACGCAGAGCCUCUCAGGGCAUUGGCUCAAAGGGACAGGCCUGUAAGUCAUAUUUGAUCUCUCUUCACUUCCUGUCCAGAGAGACAGUCCCUGUGGCAGGCGUGGAGAUGCAGAUACUGUUCAGAUCCUUCUUCUAGAAAGGACUCACUUUUGCUGUGGGGAGUAUGAUUAGCAGUCACCAGCUGGCAGUUAACUCCUUCCAAGCAUGGCCUCAGCCAGUGCCUGGACAGAACGGUGACGCAACGACCUUGCCAUUUCUGUGCCUAACACGGGGUUCAUCUAAGGGGCUCUUUGCUUUGGAGCUUCCUGUAGGUCUGGCGUUUGUCAGAUCUGCAUCUCAGUGUCUCACAGCUCCUCCUUCUUGAUCCUGCUUCCUCCCCUUUCUUUCACGGAUGUUACUCUGACUAAAUCCUCUGGACUCCUAAUUCCAUUGAGGUAUCUGCUUUGUUGGGUACUCACAGUUUCUUUCCUUCAUAAUCUUUGCAGUGCAAGACCCCAUUCCCAACACACAGGGGGUCUUCUCCCAGAGAAUCUGUCCUUCCCCCACUGUCUGAGCAGCAGGGCACUCUGAAGCAAGAAUCCUCUGUAACUGUGGUUCCUGCCAGUCUGAAUUUUUCUAUGAGGGACUGAGGAGAAAACAGCAGGGCGGGCUUUGGCCAUAUCAGGCCAGCACAAUAGUGCAAGACCAGCCCUGGAGCUCUAUGUAUUUCCCUGAGAUCUCUCUGCUGGUGUGAGAUGAAGAAAUGUUCCCUGGCCUCUUCUGAAAUAUUUCAUGUUCCUGUAAAUUUCUGGAUCAACUGAACACACACACACACAAUCUUCCAAGAACCGACAGAAGUUCCUAGGGACAAUGCAGCUGAAUCCACAAAAGAAAGGGAAACAUUUCCCUAGAGGUUCCAGCCUGCCCUCUCUGGAGAUAACAUUUGCCAUUAUUAUGCAAAGCAGUUUCAGUUACCCUGUCCUGCUUUUAGAGCAUUGAAAGAGGCCUCUAGUAUGAAAUGAAUAAGGCCGGUCACAAACCUUGCCAAAAUGACAGAGCAGUCUACUUCUGAGGGCUUUCUCUUUGUUGGGCCAGAUCAAAUUCUUGAGCAGCAUGCACUCUUUAAUCUCUGCAGAGGAAGUAGGGGAACUUUAAGAUUAAUUUAUUAUUCUGUUGAAAGCAAACCCUCAGGAGUGAAGGGGUGGGUGGGAUUGUCCUCUGUUUACAUAAGCUUUCCUCACUCAUCUUGAAUUUAAUGACAAAGGGAUUGUUCUUACCUUUUGAAACUUUGUAUAAUCAUAUGCUACACACUUUCUCCACCUUUUUUUUUUUUAACUUUUGAUUUUGAAGUAAUUACAGUUUCAUGGUAAUUAUAAACUCAAAAGUAAUACAUAGAGUUCCCGUGUACCCUUUGCCCAACUUCCCCCAGGGUGACUUCUUGACAUCAGUCAUACCAUGUAAACACCAGGACACUGGCAUUGGUUCAACACUGUUAACUAGACGAUAGACCUUAUUUUGUGUCCAUCUUUUUUUAUGUGUCCUUAUUUGUGUAUGUCAAUGCAUGCUUGUUUGACAUGUGUUGGAGAUCUUUGACCAGCAGGUCAUACUUCAUCCUCAUUCCUGGUUUCAUUAUCUGGAUGAUUUAUCAGUUAUCUAUUGAAGUCCGCUUCAGUGGACUAUGGCUUUAAUAUAUAUGAUGUUGCAAUAGUAUGUUUGUUCACUUGGCUGGGAGAACUUCUUUAUACUGGGCCCAAAUAAAUAGUUGAAGCCACAGUGCAAAGAUUAUGUUUCUUUGACUUUCUGAGAGAAAUUGCCAAUUGCCCUCCAGAAAAGCUGUGCCCUUUUCCAGCCUCUGGGUCCCUUCCUGAGAAGGCAAUUCUGUGUGAUAGCGUCCCUUUCAUCACAUCCUCAUAGCACUCAGUUUCACCAAACAUUUAAAUUUUUGCCAAUCGAGGUGAAAAAACUUUUUGAUUUAUAUUUCUUUAUUAAAGGUUAUUUUUUCAUAUGUU